rnacentral:rRNA from 1 species
ACUCCUACGGGAGGCAGCAGUGGGGAAUAUUGCACAAUGGGCGCAAGCCUGAUGCAGCCAUGCCGCGUGUAGUGAAGAAGGGCCUUCGGGUUGAUAAAGUACUUUCAGUCAGUGAGGAAGGUAGUGUAGUUAAUAGCUGCAUUAUUUGACGUUAGCUGCAGAAGAAGCACCGGCUAACUCCGUGCCAGCAGCCGCGGUAAUACGGAGGGUGCGAGCGUUAAUCGGAAUUACUGGGCGUAAAGCGCAUGCAGGUGGUUUGUUAAGUCAGAUGUGAAAGCCCGGGGCUCAACCUCGGAAUAUGACAUU